UACGAAGGGUGCAAGCGUUACUCGGAAUUACUGGGCGUAAAGCGUGCGUAGGUGGUUCGUUAAGUCUGAUGUGAAAGCCCUGGGCUCAACCUGGGAAUGGCAUUGGAUACUGGCGACCUAGAGUGCGGUAGAGGGGUGUGGAAUUCCCGGUGUAGCAGUGAAAUGCGUAGAUAUCGGGAGGAACAUCUGUGGCGAAGGCGACACCCUGGACCAGCACUGACACUGAGGCACGAAAGCUAGGGGAGCAAACAGG
rnacentral:rRNA from 1 species